rnacentral:rRNA from 1 species
UGUAGUCCUAGCCGUAAACGAUGGAUACUAGAUGUUGUGCAUAAUGUACAGUGUCGUAGCUAACGCGUUAAGUAUCCCGCCUGGGGAGUACGCUCGCAAGGGUGAAACUCAAAGGAAUUGACGGGGGCCCGCACAAGCGGUGGAGCAUGUGGUUUAAUUCGAUGCAACGCGAAGAACCUUACCAGGGCUUGACAUACUACAAAUUCUUUUGAAAAAAAGAAGUGCCUUCGGGAAUGUAGAUACAGGUGGUGCAUGGCUGUCGUCAGCUCGUGUCGUGAGAUGUUGGGUUAAGUCCCGCAACGAGCGCAACCCUUAUUUUUAGUUACCAAUUCGUUGGGUUCUCUAGAAAGACUGCCGGUGACAAACCGGAGGAAGGUGAGGAUGACGUCAAGUCAGCAUGCCCCUUAUGUCCUGGGCUACACACGUGCUACAAUGGCUAAGACAAAGAGUCGCGAGCUCGUAAGAGUCAGCUAAUCUCAUAAACUUAGCCCAAGUUCAGAUUGUAGGCUGCAACUCGCCUACAUGAAGUUGGAAUCGCUAGUAAUCGCUGGUCAGCCAUACAGCGGUGAAUCCGUUCCCGGGCCUUGUACACACCGCCCGUCACACCAUGGGAGCUGGUCAUGCCCGAAACCGUUUGCUUAACCUUUUGGAGAGCGGCGUCUAAGGUAGGGCUAGUGACUGGGGUGAAGUCGUAACAAGGUAGCCGUACUGGAAGGUGCGGCUG